rnacentral:rRNA from 1 species
UACAGAGGCCUCAAGCGUUGUUCGGAUUCAUUGGGCGUAAAGGGUGCGUAGGUGGCGUCGUAAGUCAGGUGUGAAAUCUCGGGGCUUAACUCCGAAACUGCAUUCGAUACUGCCGUGCUUGAGGACUGGAGAGGAGACUGGAAUUUACGGUGUAGCGGUGAAAUGCGUAGAUAUCGUAAGGAAGACCAGUGGCGAAGGCGGGUCUCUGGACAGUUCCUGACGCUGAGGCACGAAGGCCAGGGGAGCAAACGGG